ensembl:lncRNA
UCCAAAGUGAAAACUAUUCUUUCAAACAAGGAUUUAGAGUCUGUUAUACAUGCUUUUAUUUCAACGCGGUUGGACUAUUGUAAUGCUUUAUACUUAGGAAUAAGUGAAUCUCUGGUUAUGCGUCUUCAGUAUGUUCAGAAUGCUGCAGCAAGACUUUUAACUAACACUAGAAAACGGGAUCAUAUACAGUAACACCUCUGUUGGUAUCUUUGCAUUGGCUUCCUGUAAAAUACUGAAUACAAUACAAGUUGUUGAUGUUUGUGUAUAAAGCUCUGCAUGAUCAGGCUCCUGAGUGAAUAGGGGAUAUGUUGGUCCCUUACCAAUCGCAUCGAUAAUUGCGCUCCUCUCAGAGCUUGCUUUUGACUAGCGGAGUGGAGAUCAUGCUUUUUCUGUUGCGGCUCCAGCUCUUUGGAAUGCUCUGCCAUUAUCUGUAAAAUCCUCAUCAAGGAUGGACAUUUUUAAAAAGGACUUAAAGACUGACUUGUUUUAUCAGGCUUUCAGCAUUUAAUUGGUCAGGAUGAUUGUGAAUUACUUGUCUUUUAUUUUAUGUUUUGUUCCUAUGUUUUAAUGUUUUAUGUUUUUUUUAUCUUUAUUAUAUACUGCUUGUGUACAGCACUUUGGUCCAUUUUUUAUGGUUUUGAAAGUGUUUUAUAAAUAAAGGUUGAGUUGAGAAUACAUUUAGGGUCCCUGUCAUUUUCAUGUUUUAAAUAAACUUGUUCCCCAUCAUUUUUGCUAUAUGGAAUGCAAAAUCUUUGAAGCUCAAUAUCUCAAAACUGCUCAGAAUGCAGAUAGAAGCUUAUAAUUCCAAGGUGACGAUAUCAUUGUUCCUUAUAUAUUGGAAAUUAUGCAAAAUAAAACAUACUCAGCCAGUCUAUGUGAGUUAUGCAUGAUGCAGUUGUGUACAUAUUUGUUUAGUGCAAAGUCUUUGUUUGGAGUCUGUCAGUGCACCAGCUAAUCAAGCAUUAUUUGCUUAUUGUGCUCUCAUGGGGUUCAUAUUCAGAACCGUGUUACAUUAAAUACAGUGCCAUUUCCAUCAAAUCUGGAAAAACAAAUUUACAUUUGCAGCCUUUUGCAGCCUUCCACAUUGCAAAUGUAAAAUGAAUAAAGCAUCAAAGUAGGCACA